GCCUCAAUUGUCUGUCAACAUAAACCCUAAACCCUAACACGAAUUUUUUCUUCGAUUAAUCCCGAAAUCCAAAAAUGUUUGCUGCUGCGAUUUCCAAGCACAAAACCCAUUUGAGGGUUUCAACAUUCUUACGCCACUAUUACUGUUCCAGUUGCCGCAGACCUUUUUCAUUUACCACUCUGCAGGGGUUCAGAAAAAUCCAUCUUGUUAAUUCUGUUAAAUCCAUCCCAAUAGGAGCCUUCUGGAUUUGGCCGUUCUUCCAAAUUCUGAGUUAUUAUGUUUCUAGUCAUCGUUCAAUUGCAACACAAACUUCUCCUUCUCAUGAUAUGCAUGAUGGAAUUUUGAAUGAAAUACUUUCCGAGUUGGAGAACUCUGCAAUUUCUUGUGAGAAAAUAUGUAUCUCCAAGAUUGAUAAGCUAUGUAGUGCUGGAGACCUUACAACUGCUGCUAGACUAUUGCGGUCUUUACAUGAGCAACGAAUCUUUCUUGGCCCUCGUGCAUAUAAUAUUCUUCUUCAAGCAGCAGGUGAACAAGAUGACACUGAUAUUCUAUUACACACUUUCAAGGAUUUAUUGGUAUUCUGUAAUUCUAUUAAGUCGGCUUCCUGUCAGAUCCUUGCCAAGGCUCUGGUUAAGAAAAGUGAUGGUGUUUUCUUGAUGAAAUUUGUCAGAGAAGUUUCAGAAUUGAUGAUUCCAAUAAGUGCAAUCGCUUUGAACAGGAUCAUAUUUGCCUUUGGUGAGUUUAGACAGGUUGAUAAAGCUCUGAUAACAUUCGAGGAAAUGAAGAAUCUGAAGCGUAAACCAGAUUUGGUUACAUAUAACACUAUUUUAGUGAUAUUGGGCCAGUGUGGUCGGGUAGAUGAUAUGCUUCAUAAGUUUGCUGAAAUGAAAGAGGCCAAUAUUGCUCCAGAUACUAUUUCUUAUAAUACCAUUAUAAAUUGUUUACGCAAAGUCGGUAGGCUUGAUUUAUGCUCAACAUUUUUUAAAGAAAUGGGUGAAAGAGGAGUUCAACCUGAUUUGCAAACAUACACACCAUUGAUUGACAACUUUGGAAGGUCUGGGAACAUUGAGGAAGCACUGAGACUUUUUGAUGAGAUGAAGCACCGAAGAAUUCGCCCAUCGAUUUAUGUCUAUCGUUCGCUAAUUAGUAACUUAAACAAGAUGGGGAAGUUGAAGUUAGCUACAAAAUUUUCAAACGAGAUGGAUGCAUGUCUUUCAGGUCUUGUUGGUCCAAAGGACUUCAAAAGGAAAAAUAGAUAAAUGAACUCAAAAGAGUUGAUGUUUGGUUUCUUUUUGACUCUGCAAUCUCAGAGAAACCAUUUUGCUAAACUCUGCAUCUUUGUUGGAUAUCGUGGGUCAAAAGGCAUUAUACGGUCAGAAAAUCUGGGCUUACAUGACUUACAGCUGGUUGUAUCUGUCCGCUUGCUAAAUGUUUCAUUGGCUAGUAGGAUACUCGAGCAAUUUUGACGAUUGUAAUGGACCUCAUAGCCUUUGGAUUACCAACCGUUGCUGUGCUGUGAACAAGAUCUCGAGUAAAGAUGCUGCAUGGUUAUCCUCAAAUGAUAAACUAGUGUUGGGGAUCAUGGCCGCACUGGUACCAUUGAUCUCCUUGGUACAAUUUUGUGUGUCUGCUAAGCUGUUAGAUAUGCAGGCAUAUGUAGAUUGAUUCUGAAGAUGUACGUAAAGUUUGUACGCUUCCAUAUCUCUGGUGGCUGGUGACUUGUGCUUUGAUAAUUUGGUUAUAGGUAUAGAAGCUUAAAGUAAAUGUGCUCAUUUGUAAUUGUUAUUUUCUCAUUAUUUGUCUUUGUAGA